AGCAGCCGCGGUAAUUCCAGCUCCAAUAGCGUAUAUUAAAGUUGUUGCAGUUAAAAAACUCGUAGUUGAAUUUCGGGAUCAAGGAAUCGGUCAUGCUUUGGUAUGUACUGGUUUUAUUGGUUCUCACCUUCUAAAGAACCAUAAUGUCAUUCAUUUGAUGUUAUGGGGAAUUAGGACUGUUACCUUGAAAAAAAUUAGAGUGUUUAAAGCAGGCUUACGCUUGAAUACAUUAGCAUGGAAUAAUGAAAUAGGACAUCAGAUUCUAUUUUGUUGGUUUCUAGGAUCGAUGUAAUGAUUAACAGGGAUAGUUGGGGGCAUUAGUAUUCAAUUGUCAGAGGUGAAAUUCUUGGAUUUAUUGAAGACUAACUACUGCGAAAGCAUUUGCCAAGGAUGUUUUCAUUAAUCAAGAACGAAAGUUAGGGAUCGAAGACGAUCAGAUACCGUCGUAGUCUUAACCAUAAACUAUGCCGACUAGGGAUCGGAUGAUGUUAAUUUUUUAAUGACUCAUUCGGCGUCCG
rnacentral:rRNA from 1 species